UGCGCGGAAGAUGUAACGGGGCUAAGCCAGUUACCGAAGCUGCGGAUGCAUCCGCUCUUUUAAUGUGUUUAAUCGAGAUACUUCAUUGUGAGAGUUUUGAAUGCAAAUUCAAAACUCUCACUAACGUACUCCAAAAGGCUUGGACAGAGAGGGUCCAAAAGGCUUGGACAGAAAAGAGUUCAAAAGGCUUGGACAGGAAAGAGUCCAAAAGGCUUGGACAGGAAAGAGUUCAAAAGGCUUGGACAGGAAAGAGUCCAAAAGGCUUGGACAGAGAGGGUCCAAAGUACUUAAGGAGGUUUGAAUCUUAAACUGUAAGUUUAAGAUUUAUGGAUAAUCGAACGAAGUGGAUUAGACAUAUUAAGAGAGCGGAUGCGUGGUAGGAGAGCGUUCUGUAAGCCAGAGAAGGUGAAUCGAGAGGUUUGCUGGAGGUAUCAGAAGUGCGAAUGCUGACAUGAGUAGCGAUAAAGGGAGUGAAAAGCUCCCUCGCCGUAAGUCCAAGGAUUCCUGCGCAACGUUCAUCGGCGCAGGGUUAGUCGGCCCCUAAGGUGAGGCAGAGAUGCGUAGCUGAUGGGAAGUGGGUUAAUAUUCCUACACCGGCUUGUGAUGUGAAGGGGGGACGGAUUGCGGAAUGUGUACGGGCUGUUGGAAAUGCUCGGUAUUGUAGCCAAGAAGUUGAUUAGGCAAAUCCGGUCAAAGGAUUCAAGGCUAUGAUUCGCAGAAGACUUAAGGUCUUUGAAGUCACAGGAAGUGGUUCCAGGAAAAGCCUCUAAGCGUUAAAUUACAAGUUGACCGUACCGCAAACCGACACAGGUGGACGGGAUGAAUAUUCCAAGGCGCUUGAGAGAACUCAGGAGAAGGAACUCGGCAAAUUGAUACCGUAACUUCGGGAGAAGGUAUGCCUUUGUAUGGUGAGUAGCCAGAAGAGGCCGCAGAGAAUAGGUGGCUGCGACUGUUUAUUAAAAACAUAGCACUCUGCAAACACGAAAGUGG
rnacentral:rRNA from 1 species